CCCCAUUUGUUUUACAAUCCUAUCUAGUUAGGGUCUAAUUAAAUAAGAUUGUAAAACAAAUGAGGCUUAAGGAUUCUGUGAGAAGCUGGUAGGGAUCGGAUUCUGAGAGAAUCUCGAGAUUCUGGCAAAAGAACUGGGCCUUCGUCUCCUCCAUUAUUUCCCCCUCUUCCUCUCCUAGGUCCACUCAUCUAAACAAAUCCUCGCAUUGAUUCUUUGAUAGUGGUUCGGUUCGUCUCCCCUCAAUCAAUACUCUCUGCCUCAACUAUAACAAGUCACCCACAAAGAUGACGGAACUGCCGUUUCGCGCCGCCGCCAGCCAAACCUUCGCGGGCCAUCCCCACCGGAGAACCGCGAGAUGCUGACCCGGAGUCCAAUGAUUGACACCGUCGCACGGCCGAACUGUAUCGGAGGACCAGCUCAGUUGCACCAGAUCACACCCCAGUAGAGAACUGCGCUGCAACAUCCGCUCCCUCAUGCGCAUCAUGCCACGGAUCCAGCGGCCGGGGACGCGAGGCUACGUCGGGGUGCCCGCCAAUCAGGCCGGCGGCUGCAUCGCGGUGGAUCAGCUGACCUCGCCGGCGUUAAGGUGUGGGCUCCGCGGGCCCAAGACUCACGCCCCGGCAUCGAAUCUGGCACCCAGCGAGGCACACUUGCCACCGCUGACAUCCUCCUCCAACAUCACCUCGGCCAGAGUGCAGAGUGAAGUUUCUCCAGCAUACUCCCUGGAUAUACUAAUGUGAUGGCAAAUAAGGGUGCUGGUGUGUUUCUGCUUUGUUGGCAGGUGAUACGAUUUUUUUAUCUAUACUAGAAUCGGAAUUGAUGUUCAGUGUUCAACCAUGCAUGUGUACUUACAAUAAAACAGUCUUCUCUAAAUUAAGCACAUGGAUAUUAUCUGUUCAAACCUAAAGCUUCACCUGGUAAAUGUAAGUGUCUAAUUAAAUAGUGGCUUGCCAAUUAUUCAAUCAAAAUGUUGAAUUUAGAUCUUAGUAAUGAAUAGCCCUUUUCUGUAGUUUGAAUAUCACUAUUUGAUUUUUCUGAUGUAAAUCACAACUUGAGCCUAAAUGUGUACAUUUCCUUGCUGAGAGGAUCAAACAUAACCUGUUUUGACUGUCCUUC